rnacentral:lncRNA from 1 species
CACAUGGCUGGGGAGGCCUCACAAUCAUGGUGGAAGACGAAGAGCAAAGGGAUGUCCUACAUGGCAGCAGGCUCUGAAACUCUGUCAUUCAACCUAGAGAUAAUUGCGUUUCAUUGGACCGUUAAUCAGAUUCUCAUCUGUCAAAUAUCACUGGUGUAGCAUCCAGUUGUCAACAGUCUGUAUCCAUGUUUUCUUCCUUUAUUCAAAUCAAGAUUGAUUUUAAAAGAGAAACAAGUUUCUUCUUCCAGCAGUCCUCCAUCUCAUUUCUAUUUAAACCGGCAACUAUCAUUCUCAGCAAAGUUAAGGCAAAUGAGCAGGGAGAAUGGUCUGGAAAGGUGGUUUCUUUGUAGCUGCAUAAAGAAGUUCCUAUUAUUUUAGUUACUUGUCUGCCAUUCAGCCUCAUAUUACCAUAUACCAAUAUGUAGUUAUGAUGCUUUCCUGCCUAAAAUCCUUGGUCUUAUUGGGAAUGGAGCUUAUGUCUGUAAACAUUCUAGAGUUGCUCAAUUAAAUGACCAGAUGUUUCUCAUUAGGAUGAUUGGCAGGUGCAUGCUGAAGCUUUGGUGGGAAUAGUUGUGACUGGAAAGGCCAGCUACCCAAACAACAGUGCAAGUUCUCCUGUAUUCCCCACUGUUACUUAACAAACCCAAGAGGUGCAAUGGAUGGGGCUACUGAUAUACCAGCCUCCUGCUGGAAAAAAAUACUGAGUAUCCA